AAUUUUAUUUAAGGUCUGACCUGCCCUAUGAGAAAUUAAAUGGCCGCGGUAUUUUAACCGUGCAAAGGUAGCAUAGUCACUUGUCUCUUAAUUGGAGGCUUGAAUGAAGGGUUGGACGAGAUAUAGACUUUCUUUAUUAUAAUUAGUUGAAUUUGACUUUUGAGUCAAAAGGCUUAAAUUUAUUUAUAGGACGAGAAGACCCUAUAGAAUUUUAUAUUUUUAUAUUAAUAAUUUAUUUGUUUAUAAUUAGAUUUUUUAUCUAAAAAUAUUUUGUUGGGGCGAUGGGAAGAUUUUUUUAACUCU
rnacentral:rRNA from 5 species